rnacentral:lncRNA from 1 species
GGUUUUCAAUCACCAAAACUUCGUUGUUGCUCGGAAGUUUGUAGUUACUUAUGGUUGUGUUCUCUUAUACAUUUUCGUAUCACAAUUUUUUAGCAAGGUCAAAGUGUUAUGGGGCACUUUAAGUAAAGAGAUAAACUAAUCGUAUGCUCAUUUUUGAAGGGCCCUGCAAUAUUAAGUAAUCCACUAAAAUGAACAUGACAUCGGACAACCGUUCUAUACGAUAGGUCCUAACUUAUAAGCGAUAUUGAUUUUCUCCAAGAUUUGUUACCUUAGUCAAAUUUGCCUUGUUCAAAUGUUACCACGAUUGCAAUACAAGCACAAGAUUCCAAAUAAGUGAUUGAACCAAACUACAGUGAGAAGGAAUAUGUUAUUUGUCAGAUUUGAAAGCUAUCUAAUUUUAUACAAGUUACAAGUUACAAUUUUAAUUUAUGCUAUUAUCUAUUUUCAUCUAUUUAUUGUCUAUCAAACGGCGAAGUAGGUUAUUGGCUUCGGGAAUCUGUUAGCUAGUAGUUACUGCGGUCAGAUUCUUGUUAUUACACAAUAUAACAAUCAGAGUUAUCUGUUAUAUCGACUCUCAAUGUAUGGUACUGGUUGGCGGUAACAAGUUCCAAAACAUUCUUUAUGAAAUGAAUGUUUUUGAACUUGUUUAGUGGCGGACUUUAUAGGCUGCACCAGUACCGAUGAACUUGAUUUAUCACUGUAUUAUUAUUUCAUUUAGAACAUUAAUCCAUGUUAUCUUUAUUUUCACCUCAAACGAAAUUUCUCAUGUUGAUUUUGGACAUCUGUUGCCAGGGUUCAAUUCAGCACCCCAUUAUUUCAAAAUUUUCAUUUCAUUUUAGUUUUUAUUUGAAUUUUGAAUUUUAUUUAUCUAUUUUAUUUGCAUUUAAUUUACGGUUGCCCAAAGACCCUUUGUUUGUGGGUUGGUAACCGACAGAAGCCAUGAUCUUACUUCGCCAAUAAAAUAUAUUUUGACUUUAAUAACGUCUUCUCUCUUAUAAUUCGAUUUAAAGGGCUUGACCGUUAAAUCACGUUAUCAGAGGAAGACAAGACUUGCUACAGUUCAUGCACAGGUCAAUGUAACGCGCAUGUCUUAUUUCGAUUACACGGCAUAUCAAUUUUACCAGCUAAAGCACUCCUCACAAUAUUUUGAAUGCACGGUCUGCUAGGAAGUAACUAUAUAUAUCUAAGGUCAGAUUGUUGAGUUUAUUGUACGCAUAAUUAAUGUAAACCCACCCAUCCCUCCUCUUAUAUUUUUUCGAUACUGCUGUUUUAUGUCUUAUUUUACAGAUUUCUGCUUGUUUUUAACCUCAACAUAGAACUCCUGUCACGGCUUCUGGAUUUACAACUCUUCGCCAGUCUAUAAACACAAUUAACCACAUUAUGCCGUCCAUCUGACGAGUGAUAACGGAUUAACAGUCAUAGUGAAUCGAUAAAUAAUGUUAUGACAGUCUUUUAGAAGAGUUCAUCACUAGGAGUGGACUUUAUAGGCUGCACCAGUACCGAUGAACUUGAUUUAUCACUGUAUUAUUAUUUCAUUUAGAACAUUAAUCCAUGUUAUCUUUAUUUUCACCUCAAACGAAAUUUCUCAUGUUGAUUUUGGACAUCUGUUGCCAGGGUUCAAUUCAGCACCCC